rnacentral:rRNA from 1 species
CCUACGGGUGGCAGCAGUGGGGAAUAUUGCGCAAUGGGCGCAAGCCUGACCCAGCAACGCCGCGUGAAGGAAGAAGGCUCUCGGGUCGUAAACUUCUUUUAUCAGGGACGAAGCAAUUGACGAGACCUGAUGAAUAAGCCACGGCUAACUACGUACCAGCAGCCGCGUUAAUACGUAGGUGGCAAGCGGUAUACGGAUUUACUGGGUGUAAAGGGCGUGUAGGCGGGAAAGCAAGUCAGAUGUGAAAACCAUGGGCUCAACCUGUGGCGUGCAUUUGAAACUGUUUUUCUUGAGUACUGGAGAGGCAGACGGAAUUCCUAGUGUAGCGGUGAAAUGCGUAGAUAUUAGGAGGAACACCAGUGGCGAAGGCGGUCCGCUGGACAGCAACUGACGCUGAGGCGCGAAAGCGUGGGGAGCAAACAGGAUUAGAUACCCUUGUAGUC